AGACCCGGAUUAGCAGCCUCGCUACAGUCGGCAAUGAAGCAUGUCUGAAGGCAUCGAUCGCAAAGUAUUGGAGUACGAAGCUUUUGUCAACGAGAUUUUGAAGCGGGACUUAAAGAAUGUGUACGAUCAGAGGGAUGCUAUUUAUGGUGAGAUAGCAGACUAUUAUCAACUGAGAACAACUCUUGAAAACAUUAAGGGAUGUAGUGAACUGAAGACACAAGUUGAUUUGGGAUGCAACUUUUAUGUACAAGCUAACAUCCCAAGUGCAUCACAUGUAUUUGUUGCUGUGGGAUUUGGAUUUUUUGUUGAAAUGGAUCACAAUGAAGCCCUGAUGUUCAUAGACAAGAAAACUUCCCAUUUGCAAAGGGAUGCGAAGAUUCUAAAAUGGCCACCCAUACAAAAGUAUCCAAACAUGUGCUAUCCAGAUUUCUUCUAAAUCAGUAAAAAAAUCCCAGAGCCAUCUAACACUCGACUGUAAACGGUCUGAAUGGUAGCCAGACUACUAACGCUGACACUAAGCGUCUCAGAAGCCAUAUCGGCAAGUAAAAAACAUGAUUUAUUCUUUCACAUUUUGCUUUUGUCAGCCAGGCUAGCGCCUCACUCAAAGCAGCUACAACGACGGGAGUAAUACCAAACGAUUCGCUCUUGUCUGAGGAAUUGCACUGACCCAACAGCUAGAACUGUGCAAAGUCCACCCAGUAUCAGUCAACUGCUGCUACGCAUUUCUAGGUAGAGCUUCUACAAUGCCAUGAUGUUCCGGUCAUGUUUAUAGUAAUUAGAUACCUAUUGUUAGCUGGUGGAAACUACAGUUUGGGAGAUUGCUACCGCUUCUACAGUGUGCGUACAGUUGCGUGUAGUUGAACACGUAUGACUAUGCUCAAUGGGGUGCUGUUUCUGUGCAUGUGAUCGCAUGUAGGCUUCCGUGCAAGAUGUGUGGGAGUUGUUUAUUGAUGCAAUCAAUGUUAAGACGUACAUCCGUCAGCUGCUAGUAGCGUACUGGUACAGUACAUCAGUCAAAGUAUCGAAUCCCAAGCUGCACACGUCAUUUCCAAACCAUGCACACACAUGUACUCACAGCUAGUAGCAACACGGAUUGGAGUGAGACAAAAACCACUUCAUCUACGUAACUAACUAAAAAAUGAAUGAAACAAGUAUAAAAACAUUUUGAGAAAAUGAUGGAUAUGUAGGGAUGGGUAUGUACUUAUUCAUGCUCAUCUCCUACAUCACUAUCUUUUCUACCUAAGUAAAUUGCUUGCGGCAGUUUCAAUCUAAAACCCAGCAGUCAUGUUUGAUACUCAGUAGGAGAUGAGCACGAAUAAGUACAUACUCAUCCCUACAUACCCAUCAUUUUCUCAAAAUAUUUUAUACUUGUUCCAUGUCUAUUGUUUUCUGUAUUGUAUUUACUGUCAUACUUCAUACUUUCUGCAAGCAUGUGAAACGUAUUCAAUGUCUUAGGUACAGAAUCUGAAAAUUUCAUGCAACUAUUAUUAUAUUCUUUGUGUAGAUUGUGACUGUUCCAAAGUACUUUCAUUUUAUUUUUGAAAAAUAGAUUAGUCUUUCAUAUAAUGAUUAAUGACAUAGUAGUAAUAUGGUAUAUCAUUACUAUAACUGAACAUUUCUGUUUCGUUGACUCAAACAUGAAUAAGAAACACCAAGAGAAGAUGCAGAAAUAUGAGGCACUUGUAAUUAAGCUCAAAAGAUUAUACAUUGGGUGGACGAUAAAGUUUUGUCCUUUAAUUCAUGGUGCUCUGGACGCAAUGAGGUGACAAACCAUCAAUGAUGUUGUACGAUCUGUUUCUGGAUGUUAGGACCAGUCAACUGUUUUACUAAAGGAAAUGCAGAAGGCCACCCUACUUAGCACUAUACAUCUGCAAGACUGUUUCUUUACAGUGAAUAAAGGAAAGAUGUUGUCAUCGGUGGUAUAGUGUUGGAUUUUGUUGGAUUUAACUACUUGCUGCUGAAGAUCUUUAUGGGCAACUGAUAGAACAUAAUGACACUAGUAGCUCUUUUAGAGAUGGUUGCUAGCUGAAUGGUUUCAUUUAAAUAAACUGUUAGUUGUUCAGAGUUUUGUUUGGUUUCACUUUCUAUGUAAUGGCUUAGUGGUUAGUGACAAUAGUUUUGAGUGUACAAGCCCCAGUGGCAACAGUAAAUUAUGAAAUUUGCCUGUCUUUCUCAUGUUGCUCUAGCUUUGUCCAUGAGACUAUGACUCAUUUCAGUCAUUGGGGAGUUUCUGUAGUCUGGCAAACGGUAUAUUGAUGACGAUGUUCAGUGCUUUCCUGGUGGUCAUUGAUAUCCACUAGGCAUGCUGUCUGAGUUUGCGGUCACCGUAAUGCCUGUAAUCUAUAUCAAAAUGGUUAGUCAUUGAUCGCCAUGUGGACUACACAGAAACAUGUACCCUACUGGGUUCACCUGCCAGGUUGGUGGACGCCCAGAUGGGGUAAAGACCCCACUUGCCCACCAUGGAGGGGCAUAACGACACAGAAUAGCAAUAAUAAUAAAGACCACUAUAGCCUAGUGGUUGGAGUUCUGGUUCUCUAAUCAUGAUGGCCUAGAUUUAAUCUCGGGUGGAGACAGCAAUGUAAUGAAAUGGGUCUGUUGGUUUUUUCUCACUGUUUAUGUGGCUAUGUUUGCGAGAGUAUACUUGUUUCUGUCAAUGGGGUGUUUCUGUGAUUGGCGUGGGGACCGUUGGUAAUGAGGAUCAGUGCUUUCCUGGUGUUCAUUUGAUAUAUCUAUUGGGCAUACUGUUCAGAGCUGGUGAAAUCCCUGUAACACAUGCAAUCAAUAGUCGAUAUGCCAGUUUCUAGUGCCAUAUGGAUUAUACAGAAACAUGCACUUUUCUGGGACUUUCUUGCCAGGUUGGUGGGCACCCAGUUGAGGGUAAAGACCCCACUUGCCCUACAGAGAGGGUGAUGAUGACACAUUGAGAGCAGAUGGUACCGAUAUAAUCUUAGUAUGCUUGUGGAGACAGACGACAUCACUAUGACGUGGCAUACAGCCAUCUCUACUGCUAAGAACGUUGGUGCCAAUCGUCUUAACAUUUGCUUCAGAAACAAGAAGACAAACUCUUGUCUUCUUAUUGACUUGUGGGUGGAGGUAAGCUGCAUUUUGCAGUGUCGGACACUGGUUGUUCCAGUGGCAUUGGGAGCAUUGGGCAUAGUGCAUGCCAAUAUUGCACAAUGACUGGACAUCAUUCCAGGCCAUCACAACCUGUAGCACUUACAGAAAACAGUACUUCUUGGAUCCAGUUGGAUUCUGCGUAUGCAAAUGGUACAGGAGUGUGAUGCUAGGAGGUCCUCUCAUUCGAUCUGAAGCACGGUCCUCAGUUUACUGCACAGUUCCAGAGGAAUCUGUCUACUGUAAACCAAGAAAUUUUCAGUGGCAUAAAAAUUUUGGUACCUCCUGAAAAUUCUGUUUCAGUAGCAAUCUAUUUUCGGUGAAACUCCUCGGAAACUUGAGACUCCAAUCUGGAUGCACUGUACACUAGAACUACAUUUACGCAGUUGUGCAACACAAUAGGGGGUGUUAGAUAGGCAGUGUGACAUUGGUUGUCCAGUGGUGUUGGAGCAUUGGGCAUAGUGCACAGUAUUCAUUCCAUGUGGCUGGACAUGAUGCGAGGUUAUCGCAACCUGCAACAUGUACAGAAACAGUGCUUUUUGGAUCCAGUCGGAUCCUUCAUAAAGUCAUGUCUUUUGCCUAGACAGCCAUGAUGGUCUAAGCAUCUUUGAGGCAGGAUUUGCUUCCGGUGCUUACAAGAGACCUUAUGAACCAGACUGAUUUUAGUAAUAACUAUAGCCUAGUGGGUAGAGUUUCGGUGCCAUGAUGGCUUGGGUUCAAUCUCAGAUUGCGACAGCGAUAUAAUGAAAUGAGUCUGUUGGUUUUCUCACUGUUUAUCUGGCUAUGUUUGUGAGAGUAGACUUAUUUCUGUCAAUGGGGUGUUUCUGUGAUCUGGCAUGGGAACCGUUGGCAAUGAGGAUCAGUGCUUUCCUGGUGGUCACUGAUAUCUGCUGAGUGUCAUGUGCUGUUCAGAGCUGACAAAAUUCCCGUAAUGCACGCAAUCAAUUAUCGAUAUGCCAGUUACUAGCUAUCAUGCCAAUGGACACAGAAACAUUGUAUCUUGCCUGCUGGGUUGGUGGGCACUCAGUUUAGCCUCGUACUCGGUUGAGGGUAAAGACCCCACUCGCUUUACUGCGUGAGAGAGUGAUGGUGACAUAAUAAUAAACAGACCUUAUGAACCAAAUUGAUCUGGUUGAACACAUCAUAUUAAUUUGUAAUUGGUAUUGUUGUAAUGUGUGAUAAAACGAGGAAACUACCUGCCUAUUUGCUACUGCUUUGAGUAUGUGUCAAACAUGGCAGCUACCUGUUUGAGAAGACAGAAAUGUACAACUUUUACACAGGAGCAAUUUGAAUUUAACAGUUAUUUAUCAAUUAAUCUCUACGUGUUAAUGCUGUAAUGACGAACAGGUAAUGACUUGAGAUACAUAAAGUAUACACUGUAUGUAAUAAUAAUAGUUACUAAUACUGUAGUUUUGUAUCCCCAUAUAUAGGACACACUUCAAUCUUUUCAAUGACUUGACUUUGUCAUUGUAAUACUUUUGACUUCAGUGCAGCAGCAUCAUCUGUUUCUGUAUUUAUUACACAUUUUGAAAUUUGUGCAAAUUGGAAAUAAGAAAAUAGCUGUUGGACAUAAGUACUGUGGUAUGUGGAUUAAUAUUGUUUAUUUUACGACAGCUCAAAUUCUUACAGAACAUAGUCUACAUGACUUUUGUAGGAGGAUGGUGUCUGAUGAGGCUGUGCAGUCUUUUGCCAAAUUUAUAAUAACUGUUUUUGUGGCACCUUGUGGCAGUAGGUUAUCUUGGUAAAUGUUGAUGUUGACAGUCAUGUGAUGGUGAUAUUGCUACCAAUUGUGUUAAUUUUGCUGUGAGGACCACGUGAUCACUUGAUUACUUUGUAUAUAGGCAAUCUGAUACAUUGACAGAACGUGCAGCUGAAAUCAAAGGUCGAAUCAAGUUGGUGUUAGAGGGUCUUCGUGAGCUGCAGUCUAGCCCCUUUCCACAAUCAGAUGAAAGAAAUGUUGUAUUUUGAGUACUGUGAGAUAUAGCUU